CUUCCGCGUUGGGAGCCGGCGGCGGAUCCCGGGACGCCGAGACCCGGGGUCCCGGCAGCGGGGCGGCCCCCGGGCCCAGGGCGGGGAUGCAUCGCCGCGGGGUGAGAGCCGGCGCCAUCACCAAGAAGAAGCUAGCCGAGGCCAAGUAUAAGGAGCGAGGCACUGUCUUGGCUGAGGACCAGCUGGCCCAGAUGUCGAAGCAGUUGGACAUGUUCAAGAGCAACCUGGAGGAAUUUGCCAGCAAGCACAAGCAGGAGAUCCGGAAGAAUCCCGAGUUCCGGGUGCAGUUCCAGGACAUGUGUGCCACCAUUGGGGUGGACCCUCUGGCCUCUGGAAAAGGAUUUUGGUCUGAGAUGCUAGGUGUGGGGGAUUUCUAUUACGAGCUGGGUGUCCAGAUUAUUGAAGUAUGCCUGGCCCUGAAGCACCAGAAUGGAGGUCUGAUAACUCUGGAGGAACUGCAUCAACAGGUGUUAAGAGGAAGGGGCAAGUUCGCGCAAGACGUCAGCCAAGACGACCUGAUCAGGGCCAUCAAGAAACUGAAGGCGCUGGGCACGGGCUUCGGCAUCAUCCCUGUGGGCGGCACCUACCUCAUUCAGUCUGUUCCGGCUGAGCUCAACAUGGAUCACACGGUGGUGCUGCAGCUGGCCGAGAAAAAUGGCUACGUGACCGUCAGUGAUAUCAAAGCCAGUCUUAAAUGGGAGACCGAGCGAGCGCGGCAAGUGCUGGAACACCUGCUGAAGGAAGGGCUGGCCUGGCUGGACCUGCAGGCCCCACGGGAGGCCCACUACUGGCUGCCGGCUCUCUUCACGGACCUCUACUCCCAGGAGAUUACAGCCGAGGAGGCCAGAGAAGCCCUCCCCUGACUCCGCGAGUGCGGAAGGGGCCCCCGCGGCAGGCAGGGAGAGGGCGGAGCUGCUGGCGAAUAAAACCUGAAUCACUUUUUUCUUUUUUGAAAA